rnacentral:misc_RNA from 2 species
UAAUCUCACUACAACUACUUUAUUGUUGUUUGUAUGUGGAUCUGGAUGUUGCCGUGUAACAAACGGCUCGUCUGAAAUGCCUGAGUGUACCUGCUUUGCGGCGUAUUCGGUGUGAUAAAUCUUCACCGGAGUUGACUUUCGGGUCGCGUUCUGCUUAACACGGCUCUAUGCUUCCAACCGUCCUAACAAGACAACCUUUGACA